GACGAACCGAUGCGAACGUUGUUCGGAAUCACUGGGCUUAAAGGGCGCGUAGGCGGCCAACUAAGUCAGACGUGAAAUCCCUCGGCUUAACCGGGGAACUGCGUCUGAUACUGGAUGGCUUGAGUUUGGGAGAGGGAUGCGGAAUUCCAGGUGUAGCGGUGAAAUGCGUAGAUAUCUGGAGGAAUACCGGUGGCGAAGGCGGCAUCCUG
rnacentral:rRNA from 1 species